GUGUUGUAUGAAAGGAGAGAAGGUUAGCACUCCCCUUGAUAAGGAUGGUAGAUGUCCCAGUGGCCUGUACAACAUGCACUGUACAACAUGCACAAGACAGCAGGACGGUGUUCAGUGUGGAUAAGUGCAAGUUCUUGC
rnacentral:ncRNA from 1 species